GCGCAGACCUGCUCCCUGGAGGAAAGCAAGAGCCAGAAGGGGAGGACGGAAGCAGAGGCUGAGUCACCGAGCUUGCAAAUCGAGUUACUUUGGGCGCGCGCGUUGUCUGCUGACAGAUGCCCUGGGAGAAGAAGUGACAAGAUGGGCCCAUGCUGAACAGUUUCAGAAAACCUGUGACUUGAAGGCCAAGAUCAGAGUUCUAGACAUUAAACCAAGCUGUCUUGUCUCUGUGGACACCAGAGAACCCCAGUGGUGCUCUGUGGGAUUCACCCUGAAGACUGCAAAGCCAGACCUGGACUUCCCAUCUGCUUGGGGUCAGAGGAUGGAGAAGGGGGCAUGAAGAGACCUUGGCAUUCAGGAUGAGGUUGGAGACGAUCCAGGCUAAAAGCAGCUGUGGCCAGCGUCCUUACUUCCCAGGACCCGACUGCUGAGAAGGAGAAGUGGUCAGAUAUGCUGAGUUAGUGACUCUGUGGCUGCAGGGGACAUGGAAAGUGCUGCCUAGCUCUGUGAAAAUCCCCUGAGGCUGGUGGCUGCCUCAUGGUUCUCCUUUGGGUCCUCUGACUUGCUUAAAAACAUGUGUUCAUUUAGUGGGAGAAGGGUGUCAACUCCUUUGGCCAGAUGUGUUCUGGGGACUGAACCAAAGUCGUAGUUUUGGAGGCAAAUGACUUUAUCUGUUGAGACAUCUCCCUGGCCUCCCUUGAUGACCUCCCCCCCCCCACACACACACACAUACUCACAACAGGACCUUCUGCUAGAAUGGGAUGGGGGCUGGGCUCCUGGUUUCUGGGUUCACCUUGAGUCUGUAUUUUGCCUGCCCUACUAAAGAUGAGUGUCUUG